AAAGGGUUUGAAAAGUUUGAGCAACACCAAUUAAUAUCAAGCAAGAUUCCCCCCACCCUUUCUAAUAGAAUUACCAAGACUGGCUUUUUUGUGAUUUCAGGGGAACAAAAUGGUUCCACCUCUUCCCUCUCUGCUCUCCACUCCCAAACUUCCUCACCUGUUCUUGGACACCUGAAAUUUUCUGCAUUUGGGAAAAAGACCACAGAUUAAAAGAAGUGAUUUUUAAAAACAGCUUUAUUGAUGUACAAUUCACAUACCAUACAACUCACCCAUUUAAAGGGUACAAUUCAUGGGGCGCCUGAGUGGCUCAGUCGGUUGAGUGUCCAACUCUUGAUUUUGGCUCAGGUCAUGAUCCCAGGGUCGUGGGUUCCAGCCCUGUGUUGGGCUGAACAUGGAGCUUGCUUGAGAUUCUCUCUCUCUCCCUCUGCCCCUCUCCCCCACUCAUGCUCUCACUCUCUCUCUCUCUCUCAAAAUAAAAAAUAAAAAAAUAGAGUGUACAAUUCAGUGGUUUUUAGUAUAUUCACAGAUAUGUGCAACCAUCACCACAGUCAAUUUUAGAACGUUCUCAUCAUCCAAAAAAACCCCCAUACCCAUUAGCAGCUUCCCUCUAUUUCCUUCCAACCACCCCAGCCCUGGACAAGCACCGAUCUACUUUCUGCCUGUAUAGAUUUGCCUACUCUGGCCAUUUCAUAUAAAGGUAAUCAUACAACACGUGAUCUUUUGUGACUGGAAAGGCAAGUGAUCUGAAGUGACUUAAGUUCAUAUCAAAGAGGAAAAGAGUCCUUUCUAUCAUUUUACAUGGGCUUUUGAUGGGGGAGAAGAAUAGACCCUUUCGGUACUAGGAACUGGUGGUAAGAGGCUAAGCCAAGUGGGCUAAGAGGGGUGGUCCUCGCUUCCCACUGUUGGCUGCGGCAGGUCCUGGCUGUCAGCAGUCAAUGUCACAGCUUCCGGAGGAUAAUUCAGAUGUUGGCAUAAAGAGAGAAGGACUCGCGGAAGCGGCCCCAUGUCUAGAUGCAGACUUUGUGUCAUGUUGUGAAUGCAACAUGUUCGACAGCAUUCCUGCCGAGGAAAUAUCUCCUACGAUGGGUGCACGCCUCUACAGAAGCAUCUCAAGACCUUUGCAGAAUAAAACGCUGUAAAACAUAAUCACCUCCUUCUCUUUGGUAGAUGAGAGGAAACCUUUACACUCUCCUUCUAGAAGACAGAUGAUGUUUGAAAGGAAACCUGAUUCUGAAAAUCUUAGCACCAAAGCCAUGAACUUUUUGCUAUAAAUGAAGUUGGGGAGGGAUUAUGAUUGAAUCUUGAUGGCGAUAUGAGUGGCUAGAAUUUUCCAACAGUGCUGGUGGGAGAAUAGAAAGGUUUGGCUGCUAUGGAACACUCUCUGGCAGUAUCUGAAAAUAUCAAACAUGUGCCUCCCCUAUGACACAGAAAUUCUACACACACACACACACACACACACACACACACACACAUACACGUGAGAAACCAGUGCAUACCAACUAAAGACAUGUGUAAGAAUGUUCUUAGUAGCUUUCUCACCAUAGCAAAAAACUGGAAGCAAACCAAAUGUCCAUUGGCAGGAGAAGGGAUGAAUAAAUUGUGGCAUCCUUACAAUGGAAUACAACACAGCAGUAAGAAGAACCACUGAGACACACAACAAUAUAAACGAAUCUGGCAUGAUUUUGAGUAAAAAAAAAAAAAAAGCUAGAAACAACUGAGUUCCAUACUAGAUGGCUCAAUUUAGGUGAUUGUGAGUGGGCACACGUAGUCCUGAUAAUAAAAGUCACAGGGCUGCUGGCCUCAGGAUGAGGGCGGUAUUGACUGGGGAAGGGCAUCUAGGAACCAGCUGGGGGGGCUGGAAUUAUUCUAUGGUCUUGAUUUAUGUGGUAGCCACACAGUGUAAAUUUUUCACUUCUGUAAAAAUUUACCAGUUUGUAUCCUUAAGACAAGUGUACUUUACUGUAAAUGUACACACAGAGCCUAGCUAGCUGUGAAGGGAUAUUUUGCAAAGAUUGGGCUAUAAGAAAUCUGAGAGCUGCUUCCCUGGUGAGACUGGCUUAUUUGGUUUCAUUCUUUUGCCCACGCAAUCCGGCAAUCUGAAUCCCUGCCGAGGCUACUAUUUCUCAUGGGUGCAUAAAGUUCCUCUUACAGAGCAAGAAAGAAAAUCUGCCAUGCCUGGUCCAAUACACCUUCUGAAGACUAUUUGAAGUUAUGCUGGACGUUACUGCAUUUGAAAAUAGAGCAGCCAUACAGAAAAA